GCAAGACUUGGGCGUUGAAUCGUCUAUCUCUUCAGCUUCUUCAUUCUUACACAAUCAUUAAUGCUUUCUUUCUUACCUGCAAACAAGUAAAGCAAACACUCUGUAGUCUGUGGUGCUUCAAAACUUACCUCUACUUCUCAGAGAAACAUACAGAUCAAGCCAUCAAGCUGUACUUGUAGUUAUCUGUUUGCUUCAAGCUAGACUAUGUUCAUUGAGGGUUGCUCUUAAAAACUUUGAUUUUUAUAGUUGUUUGUUGUGUGUGCGCGCGCGCUUUUUUUUUUUAUUUUAUUUUGUCUCCUGAGAACGCUUAGAAGUUUCAUUCUUUAUCUUUUCUGUUUCCCUAUUUUCAUUAUUGAGUUUUCGAUUAGCCUUGCUUUUAUGUUCGGUAUUCUCAGUGUAAAACUAGAUUUUGUUCAUUAAGCUUUUUUCUUAAAUAUUUGCUGAAAUAUUUUGCUAUAUAAUGUUGUCCAGUUCUUUUUCUUUCUUUUCCCUUUCCCCAUAAGCACCCUUUACUAGUCGCUUUACUUGAGAAGAAAAAAGAGAGAGAGUGUGUGUGUGUGUGUGUUCAAGUAUUUAUCGGCAAUGGCUGAAGAAAUAGCCAUCACUACUGCUGCGGGACUUGCAUCAAAUGCUACAGAGUCGGGAUAUGAUUUGCUUAAACAGCAGAUAUCGUAUAUGUUCAAGUACCAGAGCUACAUCAACGACCUCAAAAAACAAGUUGAGGAUCUCAGAAAUAAAAGAGAAACCGUAGAAAAACCUGUAGAGUCGGCUGAAAGGCAGGGGGAAGAGAUUUAUAAAGCUGUUAAGAAAUGGCUGAGUGAUGUAGAUGAGUUCACUGAAAGGGUAGAAAAGGCCAUCAUUGAGGAUGAGGAUAAAGCAAACAAGGGCGGCUGUUUCAAAUUGGGGUCAUGUCCUAAUUUGAUUCAACGUUACAAGCUUGGAAAGCAAGCAAUGAAAGCCAAAAUAGAUGGUGCCGAUUUGCUGGGGAAAGGCAAUUUUAGUAGUGUUUCCUACCGUCCUGCUCUACAGAGGACAGAAUCCAUGUAUGUUAGAGACUAUGAGACGUUUGAUUCUAGAGAGCAAGCUUUUCAGGAAAUUAUGGAGGCGUUGCAGGAUGUUAAUGUUAACAUGAUUGGGGUAUAUGGGAUGGGAGGUGUGGGCAAAACUACACUGGUCAAAAAAGUAGCUUGGGAAGCAAAGAAAAACAAGUUAUUUGAUGAGGUGGUGAUCGCUGAGGCAACACAAACCCCAGACUACAAAAAAAUUCAAGAAAAAGUUGCUUAUGAGUUAGGCCUGGAAUUUAGGCAGGAGGGUGAAUAUCAGAGAACUGAUCUACUACGUGAAAAGAUAAAGAAGCAGAAGAAUUUACUAAUAAUUUUAGAUAAUAUUUGGACAAAACUUGACUUGGAUAAAAUUGGAAUUCCUUUUGGUGGUGUUGGGAGAGAAAAAGAUGAGAAGAUCAGGCCAUGCACAAAAGUUGACUUGGAUGCAAUUGGAAUUCCUCUCGGUGAUGUUGAGAGAGAAAAAGAUGAGAAGAUCAGGCCUUGCACAAUAUUGUUAACUUCUAGAAAUCGGGAUUUAUUAAGCAAAGAUAUGAAGACUCAGAAGGACAUAUUCAUUGGUCCUCUAUCUAAUGGAGACGCGUGGAAUAUGUUUUGCAAGAUUGUGGGUGAUGCUGCUGAAAGCUCUGAUUUUCGUCCUGUAGCAGAUGAGAUUGUUAAGAAAUGUGAUGGUUUACCAGUUGCAAUUUCACUAAUUGCAAAUGCAUUGAAAAAUGAGAGUCUUCAUGCCUGGGACGAUGCCUUGGCUCAACUAAAAAAGUCUAAUCCAAGACAUAUUCUAGGUAUGAAUGAAACUUUGUAUUCUAUGACAAAGCUGAGUUACGAAUUUCUGAAAAAUGAGGAAGCUAAAUCAUUAUUUCUUCUUUGUGCUCUCCACAAUGCUGGUGAUAGUGUGUUUAUUGAUGACCUAUUAAAAUAUAGUAUGGGUUGGAAUUUGUUUGAAGUUGUUUAUACAUUGGAAGAAGGAAGGAAUAGAUUGCACAGGUUGAUAGAUCAUCUCAAAGCUUCUUGUUUAUUGGAGGAUGGUACCUAUGACAAUUCAGUUAAAAUGCAUGACAUUAUUCAUGCUGUUGCUGUAUCGAUUGCAUCAGCAGAGAAGUUGAUGUUUAAUAUUCAAAAUUUUACCGACUUGAAAGAAGUGUUGGGGGAGAGAAUAUCAAAAGAUUCAACUGCUAUAUCUUUGCCCUAUAGAAAUAUCAAUGAUGAUCUUCCUGAACGGUUAGAAUAUCCAAAACUGAAGUUGUUCUUCCUAUUUGGUAAAAAUCGCUCUCCACAAAUUGCAGAUGCUUUUUUCGAAAAGAUGAAAGAACUUAGAGUUUUAAGUGUCCACGGAUUGCGAUUCUUGCCAUUACCUUCAUCCAUUUCUUUCCUAAAAAACCUUCAAACAUUGUUUCUGAAAUCCUGCAUAUUAGGGGAUAUAAGAAUACUCGGAGAGCUAAGUAAAUUAGCAAUUCUUAGCUUGGUCGAGUCUAAUAUUGAAGAGUUGCCUGCAGAAAUCGGACAAUUGACUCGGUUGAAGUUGUUAGAUUUGAGCAAUUGUUUAAGCCUUAAAUACAUUGCCACAAAUGUCAUCUCCUCCUUGUCUCAAUUAGAAGAAUUAUAUAUGGGCAAUAGCUUUGUUGAAUGGGAAGUUGAAGGAGUCGAUAAUCAAGGACGAAGAAAUGCUAGUCUUGAAGAGUUGAAGCGGUUGUCUAACCUAACAACUUUACAUCUUCAUAUUCAGGAUGCUCGAGUUAUGCCACAAGACUUGUUUUUCAAGAAACUGAAAAGUUAUAAAAUAUUUAUAGGAGAUGAAUGGAAGUGGUCUAUUAAAUUUGACCUUUCAACUUCAAGAAUGUUGAAACUCAAGAUCGAUGAUAGUAUUCAUUUGCAGCAUGGGGUUAAAAGUUUGUUGAAGAUGACCGAAGAUCUCUCUUUAGAAGGAAUGAGUGGUGUUAGAAAUGUUAUUUAUGAACUCAGUGUGGAUGGUUUUCCACAGUUAAAGCAUCUGUGUGUAAAAAAUGAUCUUGAGCUUUUAUAUAUCAUUAACUCAGUUGCUUGGAAACUAGUUUUUCCCAACUUGGAGUCCUUGAUUCUUCGUAAUUUGAUUAAACUGGAGAAUAUAUGUCAUGGUCAACUCAAUGCAGGGUCUUUCAGAAAAUUAAGGAUCAUAAAAAUAGAAAAAUGUGAUAGAUUGAAAUAUCUCUUUGCAUUCUUCAUGGCAAAAAACCUUGUACAGCUACAAGAAAUUGAAGUGUCUGAUUGUAAGGACUUGAAAGAGAUUUUUGGUGAAGAAAAUAAUGACCAUGGUGAUGAAAUUGAAACAAAUAAUCAGACUGAACUCAAUCAGUUGUGUUCUCUAGCACUACAACGCUUGCCCAAAUUCAUAACGAUCGGCUCUGACAUGAGGGUUGUCGUUCCAAGAUUGGAGAACUUGAAAGUAUGUUCAAUUAAUUUUGAGAAUACAUGCAUUCAUCAACCUUUAGCAAUGUUUCAUUAUAGUCAAUGCCUAAAAAGUUUAACUGUGGAGGACUGUAAUGGCUUGAAAUUUUUGCUUUCAUCCUCUAUGGUCAAAAGUCUUAAUCAACUCCAAAAGCUUUUGAUAAGCAAUUGUAAGUCAAUGGAAGUAAUAAUUGACUCAGAAGGAGUACAAAAAGAGGAGAAGAUAGUCGAUAUGAGUUUUCCUAAACUAUUAUAUAUGAAGCUCGAAGUUCUUCCAAAACUUACAAGUUUUGGCACAGGAAAUUUGAUUGAAUUCCCUUUCUUAAAAGAACUUCACAUUGAGCAUUGCCCUAAUUUGAAGGCAUUCUUCUGCAAAUCUUUUUAUCCAGAAAUAGAGGGAAAACCUAAGGAAGAGGUGAACUCGGAGAACGACUUUAUUAAUAUAAACCCACUCUUCGAUGAAAAGGUUGCUUUUCCAAGCUUGGAGAAGAUGGUGCUCUUGCAUUUGGAUAGCUUGCAUCUGAUAUGGCACAACCAAACACUCCAAGUUGAUUCCUUUUGCAAACUAAAAGUAGUUAGAGUCGAAUAUUGUAAAAAGUUGUUGACUAUUGUUCCAUCGAAUUCUCAAGGGCAUCUCACCUUUCACAAUCUGGAGAUAUUGGAGGUUAGAAAUUGUUGGAGUAUGAAAAGUCUCUUUCCAGUUUCUACCGCUACUGGUCUCGUGCAACUUAAAAAACUGUGGAUAAGCUCUUGUGGGUUAGAGAAAAUUGUUUCUGAGGGAGAAGUUAAUGGGGCCCCAAUAUUUUUGUUUCCACAAUUAACACGCAUCCACCUUGAAAAUUUACGGGAACUGAAAUGUUUCUACCCGCGGUUGCAUGCAGUAGAUUGGCCAAUGUUAAGCAGUUUGGGUGUGUAUAAAUGCAAGAACAUAAAUUUAUAUGCUUCUGAAUUUCCAAGCUUCCAAGCUAGAGAAGCGGAGAGGCAGCCUGCCCUUUUUUUGUUAGAAAAGGUCAUACCAAAUUUGGAAGUGUUGGGAUUAGACUCACAUGACUUCAGACUGACAUUCCUCUACUUUGAUCAAGCUAAGAGCUUUGGCAAGCUUAAAAAUCUUUGGCUGGCUAAUUUUGAUGAUGAAUUUGUUGGUUCUUUGUUCGAUUUCCUUAAAAAAUUAAAUUGUUUGGAGUCACUUGGUUUUGCUGAUAGUAGUUUCGAAGAGCUAUUCCCCUAUGAACAAGGACAUAUAUGGAAACAAGACUUUUUAGGGAACACAUUUCUUCCAAAUCUUCAAAAGCUACGGGUACGCAGAUGUCAUUGUUUGACAAUUUUAAUGCCAUCUGCAAUGUAUUUCAAAAAUCUUGAAACUCUGGAGGUAUACAAUUGCAAUGGAUUAGCCAAGGUACUAACAAGUGAAGCAACCAAAACUCUUGUCAAUCUCACAACAAUGAGAAUAAGAGAGUGCAAGCUAUUGAUAGAGGUAAUAGCAAACCAGGGAGACAAAGAAGAAGAGGUUGUUUUUGGCCAAUUGGAAGUUUUGGAGCUUCAUUGUUUAUCAAACCUUGCAUUCUUUUGUUCAGCCAAUUAUUCCUUCAAAUUCCCUUGUUUGGAGCAAGUCAUUGUGAGUCAAUGCCCAAAAUUGAAUAUCUUUUCGCAAGGAGUUUCAAGCACACCGUUGCUAAAGAAAGUACAACUGAGUGAACUAGAUGAUGAUGUAGAAUAUUUCUGGAAGGAUGAUCUCAAUUCUACCAUUCAACAAAUAUUUACGGAUAUGAUUGGUUUCCGUAAAAUGGAAUAUGUCAAGCUCUCUGAAUUCCCCACAUUAAAGGAGAAAAUUUGGAAUGAAGGAUUGCCAGUCAGCUUAUUCUGCAAUUUAAAGUGGUUAGUAUUGGAUGAGGAUUUUGAUAAGUCAACUGCUCUUCCAUUCCAUGCAUUCUCUGAUUUAAGAAAUUUGGAGACUUUGGAGGUGAGAAAUUAUCAUUCAUUGGAAGAUUUAUUUGAUGUAAAAGGAAAGACAAUAAAGAACAGUAAGGAAGAAAUUUUUGGCUUCAACAACCUGAAAUCACUGAAAGUUCACAGUUGCAGCGGCUUGAGAUAUAUAUUUACUCCUGCCAUCAUCUUGGGCCUUGAUCAACUUCAAAAGAUUGAAGUGAAGAAUUGUGCUUUGAUUGAAGAAAUUAUUACAAAAGACGGCGGAAAGGAGGGAGCCAUUGAUAAAAUUUUCAUCCCUCAUCUGAAUUCCAUUGUUCUUGAGCUAUUGCCUGACUUGACAAACUUCUAUUCAGGAACCAACUAUUUGGAAUGCCCUUCCUUGAAACGUAUUACUAUAGCCAACUGUCCAAAGAUGGAGACGUUUGUUUUCUCUGAUUUGAAGACGGACCAUCUUGAUCAUAAUGCACCUCUUUUCAGUGAAAAGGUUGCUUUUCCAAGCUUAGAGAAGAUGGUGCUCUUGCACUUGGAUAACUUGCAGCUCAUAUGGCACAACCAAAAACUCCAUGUGGAAUCCUUUUGCAAAUUAAAAGUAGUAAGAGUCGAAUUCUGUGAAAAGUUAUUGACUAUUGUUCCAUCUAGUACUCAAGGACGUCUCACCUUUCACAAUCUAGAGAGUUUGAAGGUUAAGAAUUGUUGGAGUUUGAAAAGUCUCUUUUCAGCUUCUAUUGCUAUUGGUCUUGUGCAACUUAAAGAGCUACAGAUAUACUCUUGUGGGUUGGAGAAAAUUGUUUCUGAGGAGGAAGUUAACGGGGCCCCAACAUUUUUGUUUCCGCAUUUAACAAAUGUCCACCUUGAAAACUUGCGGGAACUCAAAUGUUUCUAUCCUCGGUUGCACACAAUAGAGUGGCCAAUGCUAAGAAGUUUGGGUGUGUAUAAAUGCAAGAAGAUAAAAUUAUAUGCUCCUGAAUUCCCUAGCUUGCAAGCCAGAGACAGGGAGAGGCAGCCUGCCCCUUUUUUAUUAGAAAAGGUCAUACCAAAUUUGGAAGUGGUUGGUUUAGACGCUUAUGCCUUCAAAUUGGCUUUCCUCCUCACUGAUGGAGCUGAGAGCUUUACCCAACUUAAAAUACUACGGCUGUGUAACUUUGAUGAUGAAUCUAUUGCUUCUUUGUUAAAUUUCCUUCAAAAAUUAAGUUGUUUGGAAUCACUUGAUUUUAGUGGUAGUAGUUUCAAAGAGCUAUUCCCCUAUGAACAAGGACAUAUAUGGAAACAAGAUUUCCAACUCCGAGGGAACACAUUUCUUCAAAACCUACAAGUUUGUAGAUGUCAUUGUUUGACAAUUUUAAUACCCUCCGCAACGUCUUUCAAUAAUCUGAAAUCUCUGGAGAUAUGCAAUUGCAAUGGAUUAGCCAAGGUAUUGACAAGUGAAGCAACCAAAACUCUCAUCAAUCUCACAACAAUGAGAAUAAGAGAGUGCAAGUUAUUGACAGAGGUAAUAGCAAAUGAUGGAGACAGAGAAGAAGAGAUUGUUUUUGGCAAAUUGGAGGUUUUGGAGCUUUACUGCUUAUCAAGCCUGACAUUCUUCUGCUCAGCCAAUUAUUCCUUCCAAUUUCCUUGUUUGGAGCAAGUUAUUGUGAGUCAAUGUCCAAAAUUGAACAUCUUUUCUGAGGGAGUGUUAAACACGCCAUUGCUGAAGAAAGUACAAUUGACAGAAUCAAAUAAUGAUAAAAAAUAUUUUUGGAAGGACGAUCUCAAUUCUACUGUCCAACAAAUAUUUAUGGAUAUGAUUGGUUUCCGGAACAUAGAAUAUUUCAAGUUCUCUGAAUUCCCCCCAUUGAAGGAGAAAAUAUGGAGUGGCGGAUUUCCAGUUAGCUUAUUUUGCAAUUUAAAGUGGCUAGUAUUGGAUGAGGUUUUUGAUUUGUCAAGUGCUUUUCCGUCCCAUGUAUUCUACAAUUUAAGAAAUCUGGAAACUUUGGAGGUAAGAAAUCACCAUUCAUUGAAAGAUCUAUUUGAUAUAAAAGGAAAGACGUUGAAGAACAGUAAGGAAGAAAUUUUGGGCUUUAACAACCUGAAAUCACUGAAAGUUCACAAUUGCAGCAGCUUGAGAUAUAUGUUGACUCCUUCUAUAAUCUUGGGCCUUCAUCAACUUAAAGAGAUUGAAGUAAAGAAUUGUGCUUUGAUUGAAGAAAUCAUUACAGAAGACGAAGGAAAGAAGGGAGCCAUUGAUAAAAUUUUCAUCCCUCAUCUGAAUUCCAUUGUUCUUGAGCUAUUGCCUGACUUGACAAACUUCUAUUCAGGAACUAACUAUUUGGAAUGCCCUUCCUUGAAAAGUAUUACUAUAGCCAACUGUCCAAAGAUAGAGACAUUUGUUUUCUCCGAUUUGAAGACGGACUAUUUUGAUCAUAAUGCGUCUCUUUUCAGUGAAAAGGUUGCUUUUCCAAGCUUGGAGAAGAUGGUGCUCUUGCACUUGGAUAACUUGCAGCUGAUAUGGCACAACCAAAAACUCCACGUGGAAUCCUUUUGCAAACUAAAAGUAGUGAGAGUUGAAUUCUGUGAAAAGUUAUUGACUAUUGUUCCGUCUAAUACUCAAGGGCGUCUCACCUUUUACAAUCUAGAGAGUUUGAAGGUUAAGAAUUGUUGGAGUUUGAAAAGUCUCCUUCCUGUUUCUAUUGCUAUUGGUCUUCUGCGACUUAAAGAUCUGUGGAUAAACUCUUGUGGGUUAGAGAAAAUUGUUUCUGAGGAGGAAGUUAACGGGGCCCCAACAUUUUUGUUUCCACAAUUAACAAACAUCCACCUUGACAAUUUGCGGGAACUCAAAUGUUUCUACCCUCGGUUGCACACAAUUGAGUGGCCAAUGCUAAGAAGUUUGAAUGUGUAUAAAUGCAAUAAGAUAAAAGUAUAUGCUGCCGAAUUUCCUAGCUUCCAAGCUAGAGACGGGGAGAGUCAGCCUGCCCUUUUUUUGUUAGAAAAGGUCAUACCAAAUUUGGAAGUGUUGGGAUUAGACGCACAUGACUUCAGCUCGACAUUCCUCCACAGUGAUCUGGCUGAGAGCUUUGGCCAACUUAAAAUUCUUAACCUGGGUAACUUUGAUGAUGAAUCUAUUGCUUCUUUGUUCAAUUUCCUUCAAAAAUUAAAUUUUUUGGAAUCAUUUGGUUUUUAUGGAAAUAGUUUUAAAGAGCUAUUCCUCUAUGAACAAGGUUUUCAAGGGAACACAUUCCUUCCAAAUCUACAAAGGCUACAAGUAUAUAGAUGUCAUUACAUGACAAUUUUAAUGUCAUCUGCAACGUCUUUCAAAAAUCUUAAAACUCUAGUGGUAUGCAAUUGUGAUGGAUUAGCCUUGGUACUAACAAGUGAAGCAGUCAAAACUCUUAUCAAUCUCACAACAAUGAGAAUAAGAGAGUGCAAGCUAUUGACAGAGGUAAUAGCAAAUGAUGGAGACAGAGAAGAUGAGAUUGUUUUCGGCAAAUUGAAAGUUUUGGAGCUUUACUGUUUAUCAAGUUUGACAUUCUUCUGCUCAGCCAAUUAUUCCUUCGAAUUCCCAUGUUUGGAGCAAGUUAUUGUGAGUCAAUGCCCAAAAUUGAACAUCUUUUCUGAGGGAGUGUUAACCACACCAUUGCUGAAGAAAGUACAACUGACAAAAUCAAAUAAUGAUGGUGAAUAUUUUUGGACAGAUGACCUCAAUUCUACUGUCCAACAAAUAUUUACAGAUAUGAUUGGUUUCCGGAACAUAGAAUAUUUCAAGUUCUCUGAAUUCCCCACAUUAAAGGAGAAAAUAUGGAGUGGCGGAUUUCAAGUCGGCUUAUUCUGCAAUUUAAAGUGGCUAGUAUUGGAUGAGGUUUUUGAUUUGUCAAGUGCUUUUCCGUCCCAUGUAUUCUACAAUUUAAGAAAUCUGGAAACUUUGGAGGUAAGAAAUCACCAUUCAUUGAAAGAUUUAUUUGAUAUGAAAGGAAAGACGUUGAAGAACAGUAAGGAAGAAAUUUUGGGCUUUAACAACCUGAAAUCACUGAAAGUUCACAAUUGCAGCAGCUUGAGAUAUAUGUUGACUCCUUCUAUAAUCUCGGGCCUUCAUCAACUUAAAGAGAUUGAAGUAAAGAAUUGUGCUUUGAUUGAAGAAAUCAUUACAGAAGACGAAGGAAAGAAGGGAGCCAUUGAUAAAAUUUUCAUCCCUCAUCUGAAGUCCAUUGUUAUUGAGCUAUUGCCUGAUUUGACAAACUUCUGUUCAGGAACUAACUAUUUGGGAUGCCCAUCCUUGGAAAGUAUUACUAUAGUCAACUGUCCAAAAAUGAAGACUUUUGUUUUCACCGAUUUGAAGGACCAUUUUGAUCAUAAUGCACCUCUUUUUAGCGAAAAGGUUGCUUUUCCAAGCUUGGAGAAGAUGGUGCUUUUGCACUUGGGUAACUUGCAACUGAUAUGGCACAACCAAAGACUCCAUGUGGAAUCCUUUUGCAGACUAAAAGUAGUGAAAGUUGAAUUCUGUGAAAAGUUAUUGUCUAUUGUUCCAUCUAAUAAUCAAGGACAUCUCACCUUUCACAAUCUAGAGAGUUUGAAUGUUAAGAAUUGUUGGAGUAUGAAAAGUCUCUUUCCAGUUUCUAUCGCUACUGGUCUUGUGCAACUUAAGGAGCUACAAAUAUACUCUUGUGGGUUGGAGAAAAUUGUUUCUGGGGAGGAAGUUAACAAGGCCUCAACAUUUUUGUUUCCGCGAUUAACACACAUCCACCUUGAACAUUUACCGGAACUCAAAUGCUUCUACCCGCAAUUGCACGCAAUAGAGUGGCCAAUGCUAAGAAGAUUGGGUGUGUAUAAAUGCAAGAAGAUAAAAUUAUAUGCUCCCGAAUUCCCUAGCUUGCAAGCCAGAGACAGGGAGAGGCAGCCUGCCCCUUUUUUGUUAGAAAAGGUCAUACCAAAUUUGGAAGUGGUUGGUUUAGACGCUCUUGCUUUCAAAUUGGCAUUCCUCCUCACUCAUCUAGCUGAGAGCUUUGCCCAACUUAAAAUACUUUGGCUGCGUAACUUUGAUGAUGAAUCUAUUGCUUCUUUGUUUGAUUUCCUUGAAAAAUUAAAUUGUUUGGAGUCACUUGGUUUUAGUGGUAGUAGUUUCAAAGAGCUGUUCCCCUAUGAACAAGGACAUAUAUGGAAACAAGAUUUCCAAGGGAACACAUUUCUUCAAAAUCUUCAAAAGCUACAAGUACGUAGAUGUCAUGGUUUGACAAUUUUAAUGUCAUCCGCAACGUCUUUCAGUAAUCUUAAAACUCUAGAGGUAUACAACUGCAAUGGAUUAGCCAAGGUACUAACAAGUGAAGCAAUCAAAACUCUUGUCAAUCUCACAACAAUGAGAAUAAGAGAGUGCAAACUAUUGACAGAGAUAAUAGCAGACGAGGGAAAGAGAGAAGAAGAGAUUGUUUUAGGCGAAUUGAAAAUUUUGGAGCUUUACUCUUUAUCAAGCCUUGCAUUCUUCUGUUCAGCCAAUUGCUCCUUCCAAUUUCCUUGUUUGGAGCAAGUUAUUGUGAGUCAAUGUCCAAAAUUGAGCAUUUUUUCGAGGAGAGUGUUGCACACACCAUUACUGAAGAAAGUACAACUAAUGGAACAAGAUGGUCAUCAAAAAUAUUUUUGGAAAGAGGAUCUCAAUUCCACUAUCAAGCAAAUGUUUUCUGAUAUGGUUGGCUUCCGUAACUUUGAACAUUUGACUCUUUCUGAAUUUCCCAACAUGAAAGAAAAUAUAUGGAAUGACCAGUUACCAAUAGACAUAUUCUGGAAUUUAAAGUCGUUAGUGGUGGAUAAAUUUUCAAAUAUUGCAAGUGGUAUUCCAUCGAAUGUGUUGUGCCAGUUCAAAAAUCUGGAAAUGUUAGAGGUAAAAAGUUGUGAGUCACUAGAACAAGUGUUUGAUUUGGAGGUAAAUCAUCAAGAAAUUUUGGGCAUAAAAAAAUUCAGAUCAUUGAAAAUUGACAAUUGUAACAGCUUGAGAUAUAUAUUUACUCCAUCUGUACUAUUGGGCCUUGUUCAACUCCAAGAGAUAGAAGUGAAAAACUGUGCUUUGAUAGAAGAAAUCAUCAAAAACGAAGGGGAGAAGGAUGUAGGAAGUGAUAAAAUUAUAAUCCCUCUAUUGAACUCUAUCAUGUUUGAGUCAUUGCCUAACUUGACAAGCUUCUAUUCGGGAAGUAAAAUUUUGGAAUUUCCUCCCUUGCAAACUAUUAUUGUUAAGGACUGUCAGAAGAUCUAUAUGAAGGAGCACAGUAUUCAUCUUUCAUCCCUUUUCACUGUUAAAGUUGUAUUACCCAGCUUGGAAACAUCUUCUUACUUCCAUAAUUUAACAAUCUUGGUUAUCGAUGGCUUUGAUCAUUUGCAAUAUCUAUUCCCAUCUUCUAUGGUGAGUAGUCUUAUCAAACUGAGGGAGCUUGAGAUAUCUAAUUGUAUGUUAAUGGAAAGAGUAAUAGAUGAAGAUGAAGGGAGAACAGAAAUGAUGUUGUUUCCUAAACUGUACCAGCUGAAGCUUAGAGAUCUUCCACAACUCACAACAUUCUGCAACUCCACAGCAAAUUCUGUUGAAAUGUCUUCCUUAUUCAGACUCUGGAUUGAUAAUUGCCCUGGUAUUGAAACAUUCAUCUCCAGUUAUGUAUAUGGUGAUAUGACAUUAUCAAGCAAAGAACCUGAAGGAAUGAGUGCAAAGGAGAACUCUACUCACGUGCCAUCUCUUUUUGAUCAGAAGGUAAGACUGCCUAGUUUGGAGAGAUUGCGAAUCAGCCAUGCUGAUCAGCUGGUAAAAUUAUGGAACAAUCAAGUCUCCAUGGAUUCCUUCAAUAAAUUAAAUCGCUUGUUUCUACGAUUUUGUAAAAAUCUUGCAAGUGUUUUUCCAUCUAACAUGCUUGGGAAGCACCAGAAGUUGGAGUUCUUGGAAGUACAAAAUUGUGAUUCAGUUGAGGAGAUAUUUGAAGUGCUCGAGAAAAGGUCUAGUAUGAUGGAGGAAAUUUUUGCCAAGGGGGAAGCAGUCCCCAGGUUUGUAUUCUCCAAAUUAGCCCACCUGUCUCUAGAGAUGCUACCAAGUCUCAAGAGUUUCUACCCAGAUAUGCAUAUUUCAGAAUGGCCAAUUUUGGAAGAUUUGAAGGUAUAUGGUUGUAAUAAUGUGGAGAUCCUUGCUUCAGAAUUAUUGAGCAUCCCAGGAAGUCAUGGAGACAGUCAACAACCACUGUUCUUCAUUUACAAGGAUGCAUUCCCUAGCUUGGAAAAAUUAGAGUUGUGUGGAAUGCCCAGGUUAAAGCAUCUAUGGAGAGGAAAUUUUCAGCCUUGCAAUGCUUUUCAAAAUCUCCAGACUCUGAAAGUAUCAGAAUGUGACAGUUUAGAAAAUUCGUGGUGCUCAUCAUUGACUUUCCGGAACUUGACAACUCUGCAAGUUUCAAAGUGUGAUGGAUUGAGAUAUUUACUGACCCCCUCAAAAACUAAAACUUUGGGUCAACUUACAAGAAUGAAUGUAUCUGAUUGCAAACAGAUGGAGGAAAUUAUAACACAUUUGGGAGAUGAAGUAAUGGAGAAUUCAAUUGUUUUCAGCAAAUUGGGUUGUUUGGAACUUCACUGCUUGUCCAGCCUUAAAAGCUUCUGUUGUGGGGAUUAUUCUCUAGAAUUCUUAUCCUUGAAAAAAGUAAUUGUUAGGCAAUGCUUGGAGAUGGAGACUUUUUGUCAUGGAAUUUUGAGUACACCAAAGCUCGAAAGACUACAGUUGACAGAAGGAGAGGAUGAAGUAGAAGAAUGUUGGGAAGGCAACCUUAAUUCCACCAUACAAUAUUUGUACAACAAUACGAAAGUGUGGAGCUCCAAAGAAGAUUGAGGUCACUCCUAUAAAUAGUUUGCGAUAGACCAUGGCUUCAUUUCCUCCGGUUGAAGAUGGACUUUCUUUCUGCCAUCUUAACUGAUUUGAUCCUCACAUUUUGUUGAAUGUGGAGUGCCCUCUGUUCACACAUUUUGUCCGGUUGAAGAAAACUAUCCAGUGUAUGGCUCAUAAAAAAUAGACAAUGGCUCCCGAAAUAGCUAUGGUUUCUGUCUCAGAAGUUGCAUCAAAGGCUACAUCUGAUAUGUAUGAUUUGCUUACACAGCAGACCUCUUAUUUCAGAUGCAAGAAAACCUGUCAUUUUUAUCAUCAAUAAUUGGUUUCAAUCAUGCCAGACAUGUUUUAAAGCAGCAAGUAAUUAUAUGUCGAAUAGUAUUGGUUUUAGACAGAUUGAUUCAACCAAUUCAACUGCAGGUCAAUCAAGUUCAAAGGCUAAAACAAGUUUUCCUAACUGACCACUGAGUCCCAAUUCAGCUGGUCAGUCCAGUUUUUAAAACUGUGUUAUGCAUUUGAAACAAGAUGGCAAGUUACUUGGUAUAAGAUAUCAAACAAACAAAAUAUAUUAUCUAUAUUUUUGGUGUA